AUGCUCUCUUUGGCAGCACGUAUACUAAAAUUGGAACAAUACAGAGAUUAGCACAGCCCCUGCGCAAAGAUGACACACAAAUUCCUGAAGUGUUGCAUAUUUGU